UAUUCAAAGUGAAAUUAUGUCUAUAUUUCGGGUUAUAGCUAAAGCGGAACCACAGCAGAACGGCACCAAAAUCGUGCGGCGAAACGGCACCGUAUUGGCGAAAAACGGCUACUGAUUUCUGAGCUAAAACGGCACCAUAUACAAAACACAAUGCAGAGGCAAGCAA